GCCAAAUGCAGGCCGUUCCAUUCAAAGGGCUGAGUGAAUAAAUGAGAAUAACAUCCUUGGGGACCUUCAGGAUCAGUUUACUCUGAAAAUGCUCAGCCUCACAAAGGGUCAGAGUCACAAGCACAUGAUGCCAAAGAACUGAAUACAAACCCACAGGCUGUUUGGUUUUCACACAUGGACUCAAAUCUGUUUGUGCUUAGACCAAUCUAUGAUGAGAAAUAAAAUCUGUGUUGCUUGACAUAUGCAUCAGAUUCAUCUUUUGUAUUUAAGCCACGAGAAUACAUUUCCACAAGUGACAGAGAUAGUGCAAGAAGAGGGGAUUGUUUUGUAUCACACGUGAAAAUGAUCACUGGUUUCUUCAGACACGCUGCCUCGUAGGACAGCAGCCUGCAGCCCCACACAAAGGAAAUUCAAUCCGCUCAACAGCUAAUUAAAAAAGCAUUACCUUUCCCCAGGGCUGACCUCCAGCAGUGAAAAGGAUAAAGAUGGGUAUCUGUCAAUCAUGUUUACCUAACAAACUCUGGCACAAUAUUGUGAUGAACAGACAGAUCUAAAAAAGGAUGGAUGAUAUCGCUCAGAACUCCAAGACUGACACAAUCAAGAAGGACUACUUGAUUUGUUUCGAAGGGAAUACUGAGUCAGAUUAUCAGUCCAUUGAGGUGAAUAUUCUGCAUCGUUCUGCUCAUGGGUGAGAACAGCGGUAGUGUGUUCAUCCGAAAGCAAAAUGUAGCAGCAAAGGCAGGAGUUUGU
ensembl:lncRNA